UACAGUGGUACCUCAGGUUAAGUACUUAAUUCGUUCUGGAGGUCCGUUCUUAACCUGAAACUGUUCUUAACCUGAAGCACCACUUUAGCUAAUGGGGCCUCCUGCUGCUGCUGCGCCACCGCCACGCGAUUUCUGUUCUCAUCCUGAAGCAAAGUUCUUAACUUGAGGUAAUAUUUCUGGGUUAGCGGAGUCUGUAACCUGAAGCGUAUGUAACCCGA